rnacentral:rRNA from 1 species
UGGUGGAGUGAUUUGUCUGGUUAAUUCCGUUAACGAACGAGACCUCGACCUACUAAAUAGUCGACUAAACUCUUCGGGGUUUGGAUCAACUUCUUAGAGGGACUUUUGGUGAGUAGCCAAAGGAAGUUCGAGGCAAUAACA